rnacentral:lncRNA from 1 species
AGGGAGGGUAAGAGGGAGGGCAGCGGUUGUGAGAAAAGCCCAGGCAUCCCCAAUGUCAGUGUAAGGACAGUUUUCCUGCAGCUGCCAUGGGGAGUCUGAGACUGAGACUCUUCAAUAAAGAUAGAGGGAGGUGCUCUACAGUAAUCAUUUAUUCAAUUGACACUUAUCGUGUGUCAGAUAUGUGACAGUAUUUUUUGCAUCUGUGAAUCUCAUUAGAGGAGAAACAAAAAAUGCUGGCCUCGUGGAGCAUGGUCCUAGUGGGAAGAGGCUGAGGAUACACUGUGCAGAGACAAGAGAAAAACUUGAAAGCAAAUGAGAAAAAACUCACCACACACAAGGGGUUCCCAUUAAGAUUAAUAACCAGUUUCUCAUCAGCAACCAUUGAAGUAGAAGGCAAUGGGAUGACAUAUGGAACGGGCUGAAAGGCUAAAACUGUCAACCACAAACUCUCUUUCCUGGUAGACUGUCCUUCAAAAAUGAAGAUAUAAUUAUUAGUUUAGAUGAGGCUAAGGACAUGUGUUCCCUUGUCUUCCCUGUGCAGCUACACUGAUUAAGAUUCCUUGGUUCCUUUCAUGUUUGUUUUGGUUAUGGGGAUUGAACCCAGGGGGACUUAAAAACUGAGCCAUAUUCCCAGCCAUUUUUUAAAUAUGUGUUUUAUUUAGAGGCAGCAUCUCGCUAUGUUGCUGAGGCUGGCUGAAUUCACAAUCUUCCUGCCUCAGCCUCCCGAGCUGCUGGGAUUAUAGGCGUGCACCGCUAUGCUUGGCUCCUUUCUUGCUUUUCAUUAUUACUUUUUUGAUUUGUUUUUUUAGGGUGAAUGGCCAGAUCUUAUUUAUUGGAUUCCGAGAGCUAAGCCUCUGGCCUGGGACUCGGAUAAUAAUUUAGGUGAGAUGAGCCAGGAGAGAGCAUGCUCUUUGAACAUUAGCCACUUGAAGCCGGCCAGACCUGAAAGAAGAGGGCAUGAAAUAGGGAUUUUGGAUAAAGAGAGAGUCUAAAGACCCACAAGUCCUUGAGAUGGGAAAGCACAUUUGUAAAUAUUGAGUAAUAUGCCCUUUGGCACAUGCCCUUGUAAAAUGAGGGAAAUACCCAAAGGAAAAACUGCCAGGAAAUUGUGUAGCUCCACCCUGUCUCCACCAGUUGUCCAUCCCCCAGCACUGGCCCUUUAUAAGUAUUAACAUUCCACACCAGUGGGUGACUGUCUCUCCUUCUGGAGAUUGCACCAUAUUCUCCCUUGACUGUGUAUCUAUUUUCCUAAAUAAACCUCUGUCUAUGCCUUUGACAGGCAUGUGCUGAAAUUGUUUUCCAUCACGUAUGCCAAGGAUCCUGUUGGUCUUAAAGUCCAGUUCUCUCUUCUCUCUGGGAACUCCAUGAACCCUUCUUCUGUGACACCUCUUCUCCCAGUGAGAGGCAGAAAAGGAGUUACCCAUGCAGCUGCUGAAAUUACAUUCAUUCUAGGGUCUCUCCCUUCCUUUCUACUGUGGGAUGACAUUGGCUGCUUUAUAUCAUCAUUUACUGAAGCAGAGAAACAAACUUCUGGAUUCUGGCCCCUGAAGUCUGACCCCUGAUAAAUUCUCCCUGACAGUGCAUGGCAGGCCUUGUCCUUCCUUUUCCUUGUUGGGGGCUCUUUCCUGAACCCCUCUGGGCUUUUCCCAUUUGUCUGAAAGGGAAGUUAGGAUUCUUCUGUGGUGCCAAGUAGACCUAAGGUACACAGAGAAACCGGGUUGGUUUUGGGAGAUCUCAGUUAUGAUUUGCAUAGGAAUGGAGAGUGGGAGGAUUUUGUUGAAAUAUUUAUUUAUUUAUUUAUUUAUUUUUAGUACCAGGAAUCGAACCCACGCAUUUAACCACUGAGCCACAUCCCUAGCCUUUUAAAAUUACUUUCUUUUUUUUAAAAAAAGUUUUGAGACAGGGUCUCCUUAAAUUGCUUAGGGCUUCACUAAGUUGCUGAGGCUGGCCUUGAAUUUGCAAUCCUCCUGCCUCAGAUUCCUGAGCCAUUAGGAUUACAGGCAUUAUAGGUGUGCUGGAUUUUUGUACAGUAUGGCCUAUUUAUAUGAAAGUGCAUGCUAGUUUAAUGUAAUUGUUUUAUGUGUUUAUUUAUCUGUUAGUGUGUGUUUAUGUAGACUGACUUGAUAAAGGAAAAAAAAUAUGAUGGCCGGCAAUGACGAUCUCUACUGGAAAUUUGUUUGACUGACAAUUCUUGGUUUAUUCUGAGCUGGUUAAUUUGAAUAUUUUUUGUUUCAUAAACUUUGUCAGAACAUUGUUGGAUAACAUAUUUUGUCUUUUUCUCCUCACACUCCAUUAUGUAAAUUUGCCUUUUUGCUUUAUGUCUCUUUCUCCUAAUCAUUACAAACUUGCACAUUUUAGUUCAAAACCAAGUCCACCACUUACUCUGAAGGUUGCAAUUUUGGGAGAAAGGGGACCUCUGCUAAAAUGGGAAACAAAUUCAAGGGGGGAGGGGGUUUGGAGGAAAAAAAAAUCUGGUACUCCAGGUGGUUUUAUGUUUGAUGAUUGCAAUGCCUCAAAUUGCAAGUACUUAAAAAAUGUGGAACAUUUAAUAUCUUAGACUGGUUUUCCUAUGGGCUGGUCUAGAGUCCUUAGGCAGUAAGAUAAAAGCGAAAAAAGAUAUAUAAAUUCUGAUACAAUGGGACAUGUUUUAAAAUUUAAGCAAACUCUUUCUCAAAAGACUAAAAACCUGUGAUAAAUUAAAGCAGGAAGAAAAAGUGUUGGAAAGCUUACAGCAGGCUUUCUCAUGUUAGAUGGGCCUAGAAAGUGCCCUUUGCCUUUCUCUUGGAAGGGCUACAUCUGACUAGAAAAUAGGUUAGGUCAGAAGGACUUAUCAACUAGAUCUCCAGUAUAUGAUUUUUCUAAUCCUUUACAAAAAAUGCUGUGUGCUAUUGAUCAGCUCUUCAAAUAGGGAAAAAUGUUAUCUUAAGCCUGCAUAACAAACCUCACCUUUAAAAUUUUCGCUUCCACUGGACAUUUGCCUUUACCCUUCUCAAUGAUGUUUAGAUUAAAUUCUGUGUCUUUGGGAUGUAAAUAUUCCACUUUGUUUCAACCAAGUUAUAUCUUUGGAAGUGCAGGUUUAAAAUUAGGAAUUGUUUAUUACUAUGGUAAUUGCAUCAACAGAUUGGUUUGAAAAAAUGACAAAUGAUGAAUCUAAGUGCAAUUUUUAUUUUGUGUCAUUUUUAUAUAUGUUUGUGUACAUAUAAUUGUGUCUACAUGGUACCAAAUUGGCUGAUAAAUAAAUGAGUACUCAUAAAUUUUUAAAAAGGUACAAAUACAAUGACUUAUUAGUUCACAUGACUUAGAUAAAUAUUUUUUUAUAAAUAUUUUUUUAGUUGUCAGUGGUUCUUUUUAUUUUAUUUAUUUACUUUUACUUAUGUGGUGCUGAGGUUCGAACCCAAGACCUCAUGAAUGCCAGGCAAGUGCUCUACCACUGAGCCACAGCUCUAGUCCACUUAAAUAAAUCUUAAAUAAAUGAAUUAAUUUAAAUUUUUGGUAAGACAAAGUAAAGACAUCUUUAAAAUUAUUCACAUGCACUUUUUUUCUGUCUAGGUCACUAAACAUUUGGGAUGAUAUCUAUGAUGUUUAAAGUAGGGACUGGGGUUAUGGCUCAGUGGUAGAGUGUUUGCCUUGCACAUGCAAGGCCCUGGAUUUGACCCUCAGCUCCACAUAAGAAAGAAAGAAAGAAAGGAAGGAAGGAAGAAAGAAAGAAAGAAAGAAAGAAAGAUGUUUAAAGUAUACUGUCUAUUGCUUUUAGGGUUUUUAUGGGGUGUGACAGGAAAAAUAUCUUAAAAUAUUAACUCUGCUUGUCUGAUAUCUUGGUUUUUAGGUUAAUAUAAAAGAGCUGUUAAAAAUUUGGGUUAAUUAGAUUUUAUAUAAAUGGGAUAAACAUUUAUAAACAUAUUUGUUAGAAGAAAACAUCUGUGUUACUUGUAAGUUAAAAUACCAAAAAAUCAAUUGCUAAAUAUACAUACAAGCACUCUUGGUCUCUUAAAUUCCAUAAGAAAAAAUGAAUAUUUGGUCUAUUAAAUGUGUUUUUAUAAAUUGUUGGUAUAUAAAAAAAUCAAAAAAUUUUCCACAUUUUUUUCAUUGAUGCAUUAUAGUUGUACUUUGACCUUCUGAGUUUGACUUAUGGUUAAUAUACUAUUUUCAAGGUCCAUCUAUUUCCUUGAAAAUGCCAUAAUUUUAUUUUCUCUAUGGCUGAAUAAAACUCCAUUGUGUAUAUAACUUACAUUUUCUUUAUCCAUUCAUCCAUUGAUGGACACCUAGGCUGGUUCCAUAGUUUGGCUAUUGUGAACUGUGCUUCUAUAAACAUGGGCAUGCAUGCAUCACUGUAGUAUGAUGACUUCAAUUCUUUAGGAUAAAUACUGAGUAAUAGCACAGCUGGAUCAAAUGAUGGUUCUUUGAGAAAGUUCUGUAUUGAUUUCCAUAGUAGUUGCACUAAUUUACAAUCCCGCCAACAGUGUAAAAGUGUUCCCUUUUCUCUAGAAUUUACUAUUUGUAUUCUUGUUGACUGCCAUUCUGACUGGUAUGAGAUGAAAUCUCAGUGUAGUUUGAUUUGCAUUUCCCUAAUUUCUAAUGAUAUUGAGCAUUUAUCAUAUAUUUAUUGGCCAUUUGUAUUUCUUCUUUUGGAAAGUGUCUGUUUAAUUCAUUGACUCAUUUAUUAAUUUGGUUAUUUGAUUUUUUGGUGUAAAGUGUUUUGAAUUCUUUAUAUGUUCUAAAUAUUAAUUCUCCAUCAGAACAGCAAAGUUUUUCUCCCAUUUUGUACAUUCUUUCUUCACAUUCUUAAUUGUUUCCUUUGCUGUGCUUUUUAAUUUGAUGCUAUCCAUUUAUUAACUCCUGGCAUUAUUUCCUUAGCUUUAGGGGUCCUAUUGAGAAAAUUGUUACCUGUGCCUAUAUGCUGGAGGGUUGACCCUAUUUUAUGGAUGAAAUUUCUGGAGAUUUUCAUAUCUUUUGCCAAACCGUUCCUUUUUUUCCUUAAGCAUAUUGUGAAGUGAGUACUUGUUUGCUGGCUUCAGUACCUUCUCUUGGUUGUUUUAUCUUUCCUGUUUACCUUUUCCACUUUCCAUUUUACUACUUCUCUUGCCCAAUGUUGUAGAUGGUUGUUAUAGAAACUUUAUGUUUUGCUUUUUCUUUCCAAGACUGCUAACAUUAGUUUCAACAUUUAGUUCAUUACUAAAGAACUACUUAUAGCUAUAAUCAGAAUACUCUUGUUUUUAUUUGUUCUUUUUAGAUAUACAUGGCAGUAGAAUAUAUUUUGACAUAUUAUACAUAUGUGGAGUAUGACUAGUUCUAAUUAGGAUCCCAUUCUUGUGGUUGAACAUGAUGUGGAGUUUCACAGGUAUUCAUGUGUGAACACAGGAAAGUUAUGUCUUUAUUUUAUUUUACUGUCUUUCCUAUUCCCAUCUGUCCUUCCUUCCCUUCAUCUCCCUUUGUCUAAUCCAAUGAACUUCUGUUCACUAUUUCCCCUUUAUUCUGUGUUAGUAUCCACUUAUCAGAGAGAACAUUCAGAUUUUGCUUUGGGGGCAUUGGUUUAUUUCACUUAACAUUAUAGUCUCCAGUUCCAUCCAUUUACUGGCAAAUGCCAUAAUCUUAUUUUUUUAUGGCUCAGUAAUAUUCCAUUAUGUAUAUAUACCACAUUUACUUUAUCCAUUCUUCUAUUGAAGGGCACCUAGUUUGGUUCCAUAGCUUAGCUAUUGUGAGUUGAGCUGCUAUAAACAUUGACAUGGUGUGUCACUGCAGUAUGCUGAUUUUAAGUACUUUGAGUAUAUACUGAGGAGUGUGAUAACCGAGUCAAAUGGUGGUUCCAUUCCAAGUUUUCUGAGGAAUCUCCAUACUGUUUUCCAGAUUGGUUGCACUAAUUUGAAGUCCCACCAGCAAUGUAUUAGUGUAUCUUUCCCCCCACAUCCUUGUCAACAUUUAUUGUUACUUGUAUUUUUGAUAAUUGCCAUUCUGACUGGAGUGAGAUGAAAUCUCAGUGUAGUUUUAAUUUACAUUUCUCUAAUUGCUAGAGAUGUUGAACAUUCUUUCAUAUAUUUUUUGACUGAUUCUAUUUUUUUCUUCUGUGAAGUGUCUGUUCAUUUCCUUUGCCCAUUCAUUGAUUGGUUUUUUGUUGUUGUUGUUGUUAAUUUUUUUGAGUUCUUUGGUGUAUUAUGGAAAUUAAUGCUCUAUCUGAGGUGCAGGUGGCAGAGAUUUUCUCCCAUUCUGUAGGCUCUCUUUUCAUAUUCUUGAGUGUUUCCUUUGCUGUGAAGAAGAUUUUCAAUUUAAUAUCAUCCCAUUUAUUGAUUCUUGAUUUUACUUUUUGCUCUUUAGAAGUCUUGUUGAAGAAUUCAUUUUCUAUGCUGGCAUAAUGGAGAGUUGGGCCUACAUUUUCUUCUAUUAGGUUCAGGAUCUCUGGUCUAAUGCCUAGGUCCUAGAUCCACUUUGAGUUGAGUUUGUUUAAGGUGAGAGAUAGGGGUUAAAUUUCAUUCUACUACCUGUGGAUUUCCAGUUUUCCCUGCACCAUAUGUUGAAGAGGCUAUCUUUUCUCCAAUGUAUGUUUAUGGUACCUUUGUCUAGUAUGAAAUAACUGUAUAUAUGUAUGGGUUUGUCUCUAUGUCUUCUAUUCUGUUCCAUUGGUUAUCAUGUCAAAAUCAUAAUACUCUUGACCCUACGUUAAGCUUGAUUUCAGUCUUUGUUAAGGCAGAUUAUUUUAGUUGGUACUUACUCCAAGGUCAUGGUCUUCACUCCUUGGUCUCAACUUGAUAUUCAUCCUGAUGUCUCAACUGAAAACUCAGAUUUGGCUCAUCUAAAAUUCCCCCAUGUCCCCUGCACUCUUAGCCGUUGCGAUUUCUACUUAGCACAGCAAACCCUAAGUAGCUGUCCUCUGAUAGGUUUCAAAGGUGUGUCACCUUGGGCACAUGCAGCCUAGGAGUGUGACUUUAGGGUAUUCUUGUAUCUCUCUCUCAGUACUCUAGCCUCCAAUCCCUGCACCUUGGCAGCCUCGAAUUCUGCUCUGUUUGUUUUGCCUCCUGACAUUGCUUCUCUUUGCCUGAGCUCUAUUUCCCUGCAUUGUAGUUUGGAAAAUGCUUUAGGAAGAGAAUUGAUGAGAGUGUGUUUCCCUUCAGAUACUUGCAUUUUCUCAAAGUUGGUAGUCCUGAGUUGGCUGCAGCUAUAUGCCUGCAACAACUGCAUUAAAUAUUUUGUCUCCCUUUAAUCCUUGUUCACAGUGUGAGGAUGUAUUUAUAAGCAGCGUCUGUUUGACAGUAUAGACAGAAUAGAAGACACAGAGACAAAUCCAUAUAUAUAUAUAUA